AACGAACGCUGGCGGCAGGCCUAAUACAUGCAAGUCGAACGGAUGUAGCAAUACAUUAGUGGCGCACGGGAGCCUAACGCGUGGGAACAUACCCUUGAGUAAGGAAUAAUGGUUGGAAACGGAAACUAAUACCUUAUAAUGACUUCGGUCCAAAGAUUUAUCGCUCAAGGAUUGGCCCGAGUCUGAUUAGCUAGUUGGUGAGGUAACGGCUCACCAAGGCGACGAUCAGUAGCUGGUCUGAGAGGAUGAUCAGCCACACUGGGACUGAGACACGGCCCAGACUCCUACGGGAGGCAGCAGUAAGGAAUAUUGGACAAUGGAGGAAACUCUGAUCCAGCCAUGCCGCGUGAGUGAAGAAGGCCUUAGGGUUGUAAAGCUCUUUCAAUGGUGAAGAUAAUGACGGUAGCCAUAGAAGAAGCCCCGGCUAAAUUCGUGCCAGCCGCCGCGGUAA
rnacentral:rRNA from 1 species